CAGUCGAGCGAAGCGCUUUGGAAAGAUUCUUCGGAUGAUUUCCUUUGUGACUGUGCGGCGGACGGGUGAGUAACGCGUGGGUAACCUGCCUCAUACAGGGGGAUAACAGUUAGAAAUGACUGCUAAUACCGCAUAAGACCACGGUACCGCAUGGUACAGUGGUAAAAACUCCGGUGGUAUGAGAUGGACCCGCGUCUGAUUAGGUAGUUGGUGGGGUAACGGCCUACCAAGCCGACGAUCAGUAGCCGACCUGAGAGGGUGACCGGCCACAUUGGGACUGAGACACGGCCCAGACUCCUACGGGAGGCAGCAGUGGGGAAUAUUGCACAAUGGAGGAAACUCUGAUGCAGCGACGCCGCGUGAAGGAUGAAGUAUUUCGGUAUGUAAACUUCUAUCAGCAGGGAAGAAAAUGACGGUACCUGACUAAGAAGCCCCGGCUAACUACGUGCCAGCAGCCGCGGUAAUACGUAGGGGGCAAGCGUUAUCCGGAUUUACUGGGUGUAAAGGGAGCGUAGACGGCACGGCAAGCCAGAUGUGAAAGCCCGGGGCUCAACCCCGGGACUGCAUUUGGAACUGCUGAGCUAGAGUGUCGGAGAGGCAAGUGGAAUUCCUAGUGUAGCGGUGAAAUGCGUAGAUAUUAGGAGGAACACCAGUGGCGAAGGCGGCUUGCUGGACGAUGACUGACGUUGAGGCUCGAAAGC
rnacentral:rRNA from 1 species